rnacentral:rRNA from 2 species
UGCGAGUGAAGCGGGAAAAGCUCAAAUUUAAAAUCUGGCGGUCUUUGGCUGUCCGAGUUGUAAUCUAGAGAAGUGUCAUCCGCGCUGGACCGUGUACAAGUCUCCUGGAAUGGAGCGUCAUAGAGGGUGAGAAUCCCGUCUUUGACACGGACUGCCAGGGCUUUUGUGAUGUGCUCUCAAAGAGUCGAGUUGUUUGGGAAUGCAGCUCAAAAUGGGUGGUAAAUUCCAUCUAAAGCUAAAUAUUGGCGAGAGACCGAUAGCGAACAAGUACCGUGAGGGAAAGAUGAAAAGAACUUUGGAAAGAGAGUUAAACAGUACGUGAAAUUGCUGAAAGGGAAACGCUUGAAGUCAGUCGCGUUGUCCAGGGAUCAACCUUGCUUUUGCUUGGUGUACUUUCUGGUUGACGGGUCAGCAUCAAUUUUGACUAUUGGAAAAAGGUCAGGGGAAUGUGGCAUCUUUAGAUGUGUUAUAGCCCUUGGUUGCAUACAAUGGUUGGGAUUGAGGAACUCAGCACGCCGCAAGGCCGGGUUUUUUUUAACCACGUACGUGCUUAGGAUGCUGGCAUAAUGGCUUUAAUCGACCCGUCUUGAAACACGGACCAAGGAGUCUAACAUGCCUGCGAGUGUUUGGGUGGAAAACCCGAGCGCGCAAUGAAAGUGAAAGUUGAGAUCCUCGUCGUGGGGAGCAUCGACGCCCGGACCUGACCUUUUGUGACGGUUCCGCGGUAGAGCAUGUAUGUUGGGACCCGAAAGAUGGUGAACUAUGCCUGAAUAGGGUGAAGCCAGAGGAAACUCUGGUGGAGGCUCGUAGCGAUUCUGACGUGC